AACGAACGCUGGCGGCGUGGAUAAGACAUGCAAGUCGAACGGGACAGACCGAGUAGCAAUAUUUGGAAUGUUCAGUGGCGAACGGGUGCGUAACACGUGGAUAACAUUCCGGAAAGCGGGGAAUAGCCCAGGGAAACUUGGAUUAAUACCGCAUGUGGCCGCAAGGCUAAAGACGGGGACCGCAAGGCCCGUCACUUUCCGAUUGGUCCGCGGCCUAUCAGCUAGUUGGCGGGGUAAUGGCCCACCAAGGCUACGACGGGUAGCUGGGCUUAGAGGACGACCAGCCACACUGGAACUGAGACACGGUCCAGACACCUACGGGUGGCAGCAGUCGAGAAUCUUUCACAAUGGGGGCAACCCUGAUGGAGCGACGCCACGUGGAGGAUAAGGUCUUCGGAUUGUAAACUCCUGUCAUGCGAGAACAAGGUACUCAGGCUAAUAACCUGAUUGUUUGAUGGUACCGCAAGAGGAAGAGACGGCUAACUCUGUGCCAGCCGCCGCCGUAAUAC
rnacentral:rRNA from 1 species